UAUCAAAUAAUAAAUUAUUAUUUUACCAAAACGGAACUUUACAUUGUUACCAUAUUUUUGAUUGUAGAUAUCUGUUUCGCGACUUUAUAAUCUUUACAUUUUUUGUGACAAUGGAUGACAGAGAUAAAGCUCAGCAUAAUAUGAUAUCCAAUUUGCCGCUUUUGUUUGCAAAUGGAUACCCCACGUCGCUUGAAAAAAUAAGCGAAUCACAAUUAGAAAGUUUUAUUCCAUUUAUGGUACAGUGCUCUUUGGGCCAUAUAAACUUACCAAAAAAAAUUGACUGCAGUGAGCCCGAGUGGUGGCCGGAAAACGCACCUUUUGGAAUUCCGUUAAAAAAACCAAACGAUUUUGUUGGGAGCUGGAUGGAAAAAAUGAAAGAAAUUGUAGUAAUUUGCUAUCAAUUUCACAAAAGCUUAUUUUUAUUACGAUUUUGUAAUGAUUUAGCUGCAUAUGAACAUGCAAGCUUAAGAUUUAUAAACAAUUAUAAUUCAACAACCUCGCUAUAUGAUAGAAGAAACAACAAAUUGUUGGUAACAUUUCGGAAUGAAAACAUGUCACUAAUUUUA
rnacentral:misc_RNA from 1 species